CAUCUUUGGAGGCUAACAAUCAAUUCAUUAUCUAGAGACAGACAGAGGCUCACUAGUGGCACGAUCUUGGCUGAUUGCAUCUUCCACCUCCUGGGUUCAAGAGAUUCUUGUGCCUUAGCUUCCUGAGUAGCUAAGAUUACAGGUGUGCACGCGUGAGCUACUGUGGCCGGCCACAUUUCCCUUCUGGUGCGCGUCCUCCUGUAGCUGUGGGAUCAGGGGAGGUAGAGAUGUCUUGUAACUGACUCAAGUUUGGCUGCUUGCCGCAGGAGAAGCGAGGUGUGGUGAAAGGAAAGCAACUUUUAUUCAGAUGCUAGCAGGUGGGAGAGUGGCCAGGCUCAAGGCUCUAAGGAACCAUCUCAGCUUUUUGGACUGCGUGAAGGGCUUUAGGAAGGAGAACUCGGUGUGGGAGACAUGUGGGAGUAGGGCAGUGGUGCAGGUGUCUUGAGUAAUUGCCCAUCCGGAGGUCUAGUUGGCAUCAUCUUGACCUUGGUCUGGUGGUGGUGGACUCAUUGUUCAUAACUCCCCUAGACAGGAGGAUUCCACAGCUGGGUUCUAUGCCUGGUUUAUUUAAAAAUGAGCCCCUGGCAUUUCUAAGCAGGCACAGAAUGAGAUAAGUGAGCACUGUGGCUGGUGGGAAAGGGAGGGAAACAGGUUUAAAGUAUGUUUCAAGGCUGCAUUCUGAGACUAGGAGGGAAAGGAAGAAAAACUUUAAAAUUCUUCUCAAGGCUGAGAUAUUUGACUACAGUCUCAUGCCCAAAAUGUUUCUAUUCUACACUGAGACCUGAUAGAUAAUUUGGCUGCAUACCUGGAGUCCAGUGUGUGCACCUGCCCCUCCCAUCCCAUACUCGCAGCCAGUGGAAAAGUCUGCAAAAGGAAGCCAGCUGGGAGUGCCCACCAGAGUCAAAGUCUGGGGCAGGCUGGUGGACUCAAGAGGAGUCUUAAAUAUUGGAAAUGUCAUCACAAACCAUCUGGGAAGCCCCCUCCUCUUAAAAAGGACAUAAAGUCAAAGUGAACAGGUGUGCUCACUCCAAGCCCGUGCCCACAACCACAGUGCCCUUCACAUUCAGAGUCAUGGCCACUAGCCACAAAAUUGUGACUUACAGUUCACAAAAUUGGGACAUAUUUACAUGUUGACUAAGUUGGGAAAUAAUUUGGAUUUUCUUUAAAAGUAGUAAAAGUAAAGAAGAAAAAGUCAAAAAGGUCUGACAUCUAAGAGGGUGAAAUUUCCUUACUUUAGAUCACAAGCAAUCAGGCUGAUCCCGCCUGAGCCCUGAGCUCCCUGGGACCCAGCAGCAGCUGUGCAUUGGCACGUGGUGCCCUGUGUCUGAUCAGCUGACUCCUCAGGCAAAACCUGCACCAUUUUCACCAGAAUUGCAGAUGUCCUCAGUGUCAUUACAAAGUUCCUAAGUCAUGACCAUUCUGUCCUGUGGAACCAGGCUGGACUAAGCUCCCAUUUCUUUAAGCCAUCCUGUCCCCUGCAGGGACUUCCAAGGUGGAGCUGAUGAGCAAUAGUUAUGAGUCAUUGGAGGAGACAUCCCAGAGGCGCCAGCUCCCCUCUGCCCUAAACUGAAAUUAAGACCUGGUGCUCUGGGUGGGGCCCCUGGAAGGGGAUGUGCAACUCAGAGGGGACCUUCUCCACCUCCACCCAGGAGACCCCAGAGGGACCAUGGCAGAGCCGGAGCCCUCUUUUUUUUUGUUCGUUUUUUAUUUUAUUAUUAUUAUACUUUAAGUUUUAGCCCUCUUUUAAAAACCAAAUGAAAAUAAGCAAAAGAAGCCAAUCGUCUCUGUGAAAUGUCCAGAAGAGGGAACUCUGUAGAGACAGAGAGGAUAUUAUUGGCUGCCGGAGGCUGGGAAUGGGAAGGUGAGGGGCCUGGGGAGGUGAUGGUUAAAAGAUUCUUCUUUGUGGUGAUGAAAUUGUCUUAAAAUGGACUGUGGUGAUAGUUGUGCAACUUGGUGAAUAUAUAAGUUAUUGAAUUGUACACUUUAAAUGGGUGAAUUGUAUGGUGUGUGAAACAUAUCUCAAUAAAGCUGUUAUUUGAAAAAUAAAUAAGUAAAUAAGUGAAGUCCCUGGGCUGGAGCCGGGGGGAUGCGGUUGUUCACUCUAGCUGCACUUGCUGUAGGCCCUGGGCAAGACCUUUCUGCACCCUGGCCCUCAGUUUCUCCAAUCUGGAACACGUGGGGUCGGCCAAGGUCUCCACAGGCCUUCUCCAGCAGUGUGUGACAGUGUGGAGUGCCUGCAGAGAAGGCACCUGGGUCUCUCUGAGGAGCAGAGAAGGGGACUGGGGCUGCAGGAAUGUGGCUUCACUGUGGGCUUGGGUAUCUGUGAGGUCCUGUCUGGGAGAAGCCUUCU
rnacentral:lncRNA from 10 species